AGUGAACGCUGGCGGUAGGCCUAACACAUGCAAGUCGAACGGCAGCACAGUAAGAGCUUGCUCUUACGGGUGGCGAGUGGCGGACGGGUGAGGAAUACAUCGGAAUCUACUUUUUCGUGGGGGAUAACGUAGGGAAACUUACGCUAAUACCGCAUACGACCUACGGGUGAAAGCAGGGGAUCUUCGGACCUUGCGCGAUUGAAUGAGCCGAUGUCGGAUUAGCUAGUUGGCGGGGUAAAGGCCCACCAAGGCGACGAUCCGUAGCUGGUCUGAGAGGAUGAUCAGCCACCCUGGAACUGAGACACGGUCCAGACUCCUAGGGGAGGCAGCAGUGGGGAAUAUUGGAAAAUGGGCGCAAGCCUGAUCCAGCCAUACCGCGUGGGUGAAGAAGGCCUUCGGGUUGUAAAGCCCUUUUGUUGGGAAAGAAAAGCAGCAGGUUAAUACCCCGCUGUUCUGACGGUACCAAAAGAAUAAGCACCGGCUAACUUCGU
rnacentral:rRNA from 1 species